GGAGAAGGUGGUGAAAAAGAGGAUACCUAGUCAGUUGCACAACGGAAUGCAUUCAACCCUCUCUGAAUCAGAGAGGUAUGGGAGCUGCCUUAAUUGACGUCAUCGGCGCCCAGGGAGCAAUUGUUGGGGGUUAACUGCCUUGCUCAAGGGCAGAACAGCAGAUAUUUUUCACCUUGCCACCUUGGGGAUUCGAACCAGCAACCUUUCAGUUAUUGGUCCAAUGCUCUUAAAUGCUAGACUACCUGUUGCAGGGAAAGAGAGAGGUAGUGGGGUUUUAGCGAUCGAGAGGGAGAAGUGAAGAGGGAGAGGUAGUGGGGGUUUAGAGAGGGAGAAGUGAAGAGAGAGGUAGUGGGGGUUUAGAGAUCGAGAGAGGGAGAAGUGAAGAGAGAGGUAGUGGGGGUUUAGAGAUCGAGAGAGGGAGAAGUGAAGAGAGAGGUAGUGGGGGUUUAGAGAUCGAGAGAGGGAGAAGUGAAGAGAGGUAGUGGAGGUUUAGAGAUCGAGAGAGGGAGAAGUGAAGAGAGAGGUAGUGGAGGUUUAGAGAUCGAGAGAGGGAGAAGUGAAGAGAGAGAUUAAAGUGGUGGCUACAGAGACAGAAAGAGAAAGAUGUAGAGACUUUUUGUGAGAGAGCGUGCAAUUUCAUUAUGUCUGCUGUAGCCCAUACCAAAUAUGGAGUGCUUGCCCCCCACUCACCUCAAAUUACCUUACCUUUUAAUGUCUGGUAUUACUACACUCCUGCAAUGCAACCCUUCCCAAUUUCAACCAUCACCACCAUUAUCCUAAUUUCUUGAGAGGGUAAAGAGGAGAGCGUUUUUCUGCCCCUGAAAUUAAGUGGGAUCUUUCACUGUGCAUAGAUGGG
ensembl:lncRNA